UAUCUCCUGUUAAGGAAGGACAGAAUUAUCAGCUCAAAACUGUUGACAUCACUGAUCAGAAACAAAGAACAACUGUCCAAGUGAAUCUUUGGGGGAGUUCAUCCCAAAGUCAUGUUCCACCUGUUGGCUCACCAGUUCUACUGGAGAAUGUUGAAAUUUCUUCAUAUAAACAAGACACUGUCCUCAAUGCCACACAAGAAACAACCUUUGUGACAAGAGAAGAGCCAAGUUCACAACAGACGGUGGCAGUCAAUGCAUUCUCUGAAGAACAGAAUGGCGACAUUACGAUCUUCACUGAUGACAACACAGAGUAUGUAACAGCUCCAGAUAUUCUCAACGAUGCCCUCCAUAUUACCGAAGUUACUGAGGCACACCCUCUACUCCCCAUCGUUCUAGACAUAGAGUUUCAAAAUGUUGCUGGAACAAACAAAGUGACUUCAAUCACUCAAACAUGUGACAGGAAUGAAGAGGAAGAACACACAGACGAAGAAACUCUGUAAACAUUGUACUCUGUAAAACAUUGUACAUGUACAUACCAUUACUACAAAUUUGAUGUGAUUUUUUCAAACAACUUUUAAAGCCUAGUUCAUAAAAAACUACUGUUAUAUUUUAUCUAUCAAGUAAAAAACGACAAGAGAAUCUGACUGGGUAAAUUUUAAACAAUUUGGGGUUGAACUAAGAAAAAUUAUUACAGCAGCAUUUUAACAUGAAAAGUAGAAUAAUUUGGUUAAUUUCUGAUAAACGAUGUACAGACAUACCGACACAUUUCCCAUGCUUCAAAUAAUUGCCCCAAAUCAUUCCAAAACGGUCACCAUCGUCAUGAUCAAAGCAAGCAUGUGGCCGGUAUGUACAGGGAAUUAUGACCUCUAACCCAGUUACUGCCCGUCCACGCAAUCCCUCUGUAAUAUAUCUGUUGAGGGUAAGUGUGCGUGCCCUGGGUGACAGGUCAUAAAGUCCAUGUACAGCCCAGAUCUGCUUAGAUCAUGACAACAGUGCCCUUUAUUAUGAAAACUUGUUCAUUGUUUUUCAUGUUUGUCACUUCAAAAUGAAUCAAAAUGACUUAUCAAUCACUGUUCUUGUUAACAUUGUAACAGAUUAAAAACUUUUACAAAUUUGAUGUGUUAUGUUUUUAAAAGCAUUUUUACAGCAAAACUACUGUUGUUAAAUUUCAACAUCAAAGGAGAAUAAUUUGGUUAAUUUCUGAUAAACAAUGUACAGACAUACUGAAAAAUUUUCUAUACUUCAAAUAAUUGCCCAAAUCAUUCUUAAUAUAAUUACUGCACUGUUUGUAUCUUUUUCCAAGUCUGUUAUGUUUUAUAGAAUUUAUUUAUAUAUCAUUUACUUUUUGGUAACAAACCAACAAUAAAAACACGGAACAGCUCUGUGAUUGUUCACAAUCAC